ACUAAACUGAGUUUUGUCUGCUACAAAGAGCGCAGCAAACAGACGGCAAAACUGACAGUCAAAUCCAGUCAAAAUCUGACUGAUCCGGCUGUGAAGACGCAGAUUCUCCAGAAGAUUGAGCAGGUGAUGAAGGAGAAAGGAUUAAUUAAUUAUCUUAAACUUGCCUGGAAAACCCAAUCUGAUGGAGACGUCUUUCAGAAGAGCCCGCAGAAAGGAGACACUCCACACAUCUGCUCCUGAGGAAACUACAAAACCAGUUGCAUUGAUUUACUGUGGCCAGAUUAAAAUACAGUAAGAAAUAAUGAACGCGUUUUGACGUAAUUAUGCGAUUUGGCAUUGAUCUAUGUUUGAUAUGUUUACUGAAGUGUAGCACAGCUGUGUUCAAGUUCAACAUAUUUAAAGGAAAAUAAAUGUACAAGGUGCAUU
rnacentral:lncRNA from 1 species